GCCUGGGUGGCUCAGUCAGUUGAGCGUCUGACUUUGGCUCAGGUCAUGAUCUCAUGACAGGGUUCAUGGGUUUGAGCCCUGUGUCUGGCA
rnacentral:tRNA from 1 species